UGAAGGAGCUGAGCGGAUGGCUGCGUUGCUGGGCAAUAAGUUCUGCCACCCAUGUCCAGUGCACCACGAUCUUGGAAAUAACUCAUGUAGCUACUUCUGCCUGGAUUGCCAAGGACUGGCACAAGAGGCCUUGUGCUUCUACUGCCGAGUAAACCACCCACCUCAUCGCGUUCUACAGGUGAGAAAGGCUUCACUGAGUGAAGUGGUGCGAGCGGAAGAUCUGCACGGGCUGGUUGAUAUAUCGGGGGUACAACUGGAUUCUAUCAAUCGCCGCAAGGUAGUCUUCCGUAACCAAAGGCCCAAUGCCAGAUGCCCGCUACGCGGUAUCAGAAUCUAUGUUCGAAAGUUUGCAUGCAUGGUAUGCAGCCGAGGCCUAAUGGAAGGCGCCAAAUUUUGCUCGCUGGAAUGCAAGGUACAAGCCGAGCCUCGCUACGUUCAGGUACAGGAUGAGUCUCAGGGGCCUUCUUCAUCCAUGCCAAGCGACAAAGAAACCUCAGUCUGCGAAGGGAGCGGAUCGGGCUGACCCUUUCCCUGCUCCUGCGAUCCGCCGCAUUCAAACUCCGGAUCAGGGUCGAACCAUAUGGUUACGUUUCCCUGCUCCUGUUGUCCGCGGUGACCCGCGGGGCAAACCGCACACCUGCUGCCUUGCUUUGGUGAUCGAUCGAGGAGAGCUAGGAUGCGGCCCUGUCCCUGAAAUAUGCAGUACGCACACAUACACAUGUCUGGAGGCUGGGGCAGGUAGACGUUGCUGUUCCACACGUCAGGGCCCGGCCGGCCUUUUCUUGCUUGACUAGCAGAGAAACACAAUGCAUUGCUGCAUGUACUGUGUGCCAUACUUGGAUCACAUCAUGCAUGUUCAUCCUUCUCCUUUGUUUUUCUAAUAAUAAGACUACCAUGUUCAUCCUUCUCCCUUGUUUUUCUAAUAAUAAGACUAGUAGUACUACUGUGGGUGUGUUUGAGUGAGUGAGUGAGAUAGAUGGGAAA